CAGUAGCCGCGGUAAUACGAAGGGGGCUAGCGUUGUUCGGAAUUACUGGGCGUAAAGCGCACGUAGGCGGAUAUUUAAGUCAGGAGUGAAAUCCCAGAGCUCAACUCUGGAACUGCCUUUGAUACUGGGUAUCUUGAGUAUGGAAGAGGUGAGUGGAAUUCCGAGUGUAGAGGUGAAAUUCGUAGAUAUUCGGAGGAACACCAGUGGCGAAGGCGGCUCACUGGUCCAUUACUGACGCUGAGGUGCGAAAGCGUGGGGAGCAAACAGGAUUAGAUACCCCCGUAGUCCCUGUCUCUUAUAC
rnacentral:rRNA from 1 species